rnacentral:misc_RNA from 1 species
GCAACGGUGAAUCACACGCUGCUUUCAAGGCGUCCAUCUUGCAAACAGAAAAUUAUAGCCAGAGUGUUUCUUUUUAUUGGUAGCUCAAAAGCGAAGAAACAUCUGUUUGAGACGGGAAAUCGGCGAAUCGUGUUUUCUGCCCGAAGAGAUUCAUUUAUGAAACCUUUUGAACCGAGAAAUUGUGUAUACAGUCAGUCACAAAUGUCUGUAUACACUUCUUACAUUUUAUGUAUCCGUUUUAUCCGGAAAAGA